rnacentral:lncRNA from 1 species
GACUUGUCGCGCCACCGCGUCGUCGCCUCCUCUGCACCAUGCGGUGCCACCUCUGCCUCCACCCCCACCGGGCAAGGAGCUCGAGGUGAACAGGCGGUGUGGGAAGGCGAGAGGAAGCAGGAGCUCAUCUCUCCUCCAAUGGAUGUCUCGUGCAUCACGUGCCUGUUGGAGGUGGCUCGAGCGAUGCAGGCUAGCGGCGAACUAGGUGCUCCACUCUUCUCUCCCUCACUUCCUCCUCACUCAUAUUUUACUUUGCUAAUAUUUGUAUUUUUAAACUUGAGGUGUGCAGAUCUGACAUAGAAGACCACGUUCCUCAGCGAUCCCAGAAUAUAUUAGACAAUAUGGUAGUCCAAUGCUGUUUUGAAGUAUAUAUUGGCACCAUGCUGACAGGUGAAGUUUUAUUAUCUAUCCUUGUAGAAUAAUCCAAAGAAGAUACGUUUUACCCACCAAUUUAUAUGCCUAACUGUGCUGCUAUUGUUACUAUUUUCUUAAUGGAUGCUCCUAAAAUUGUUUCGGUGCUCUUCUACCAAGAUUGACCAAAUGAGUGUUCUGCUAAAGUAAAAGUCAUAAGACUGAAAUAACAUGGGUCAGCCUUUGUAUGUCUGCCAGUGCUACAAAUUAUUUGAAUGAAAGAUCUAAAAAUACACAACACAUCGUAUGUCCACAGUUGUGAUGAUGAUAGGUGCAGAGUUUUGGCCUGUUCAUUACAUUAAUUUGAAAGCUUGUGUUCUUUUGAGCUUACAUUAUGUAGCAUCUCUACUGUAGGUUUGUAAGUAGCUUUCUCCUUUAUCUGAUGGAAAUCAUAACUGUUUUACAGGAAGUGAAGACGGCCAGUCAUCGCGCCAUAUUCCCGUGAGCUCCAUUCAUAUUACUAUAUGCUUAAAACAUCGUGCUCUCCUUCUCUACAUCAUGUGGUAGUAGUAUUUACUUGCCAUUCAUGCAUCUUGUUCCAUCAUGUCAGUCAUAUCUUACAUAUCGCGCUUAACUGAUUUGCUCAGUUCCUCUGCUAUGCUUUUAUGUUCGUGUUUUUUGAACAUUCUUGGUUACUAUAGAUUAUCAUGCCAUCUUGCUGCAAUGCAUUCAAACCUGCAAAUAGCUUUGUAAACAGAAUUAUGUGCCCAGGCAUUUGAUUGUGCUUACAUGUUUCCAAAUGGGGCCUCUCUUUGUACAUAAUUGAACAUGGGAUUGAACCCAUGGUCACAUCAUAUUGUGAGACAUGUCUGAAACGUCUAAGCUGGGAAAUCAGGUCGAUUUAUCUGACUACUGAAAAUGAGCAUCCGAAUAGCUACAGAACUUAUCCACUUCCAGCCAAAUAUCAAUUAUAAAAAAUCCACCAUGUACCAUGAUCAAUUGAAUAGUCUUGCUUAAGUUUAUGUUACCUCCGUAUGCUAAAUGAAUGUUCACUUGUGUUCAGAUUUCAAGGAAGUGUGCUUCACGCUUAUGUUUCUGCAAUAUGAUUUAGAGUAUAUGACUUCAUUUUCCUACUUUCCCAGUUAUAAAUUUAUUGGCAUCGAAGUAGAGCUUCAGGUUUAUGGUUCAGUAUAUUAUUGCAAAGUAGUUUAUGGCUCAGUAUAUCACUGCAGGUUCCUUACACCAUCAAAUUUCAAUGUUUUUGUAUUUUUGUCGAUUGAAGCAUGUUCUUCGACUAUAAAAUAGCAGAGAUUUCUUUUCUUAUCAAUUCUAAUCCCUUUUUGAUACAUUGCAGGUUUGAUAUCAAACUCUCAAAAAGGAAAAACAACUUUACUCUGUUUUUUGGAGAACCUUCCUGUAGAGUACCUUGACAGAGACAAAUAUGCGAUCAAGGAUAUAUUCGAUGGAUUUUCACGCAAAACUUGGAGGAUAUUUUUUGCAGGUUCAUUGCUUGCUUUAUUGUUUUCUUACUUUCCGUUCUUCAAGACAAUAUCUUCCUAGCAUUGCUCUAUAAAUUUAAAUCCAUCUUUUUGUUCUUUGGAUUAUCAUGGCGUACUCGUCCUGUCUAAUCCAAGAAAGGGCCUUCAUGUUUGCAGAUAGUUUGGUGCUCUCAUGGUUAUUUUAUAGUGAUUUUCCUUGUAUUUGUUACUUGGUAACCAUCUACUGCAGCUUAGCUAUUGUCCAGUUGCUGACCUUAUGGUGAGUGAUUGAUGGUGCAUGUUUUCCUAUUAGUUUCUUUCUAUGCCAAUGUCUGAAUUUUAUCUUGCCGUUUUGCAUUUCUCCAGGCCUUUCAUUCUCACUGUGAUUCCCCGAGAUGCACUAUUAGUAGGCAUCCACUUUCUAAUAAAAAAUUGGCAGUCAACUUGAACGAGUCAUUUAUCUAGCUACAGCAACCUUCCUUGCUUUUGCAGUCAACUUGAACGAGUCUAUACCUGCCAAAUAUUUACACGUUAGUAUAGCCAGAAAGUCAGAUGAUCGUUCCAUGUUGGUUAGCCGUGAUAAAUCAAAUUUCUAGAGUAGCAGAUGAUUCGUGUCAGGUUUCCUUUAGAGAUUGAAAUAUGUCUUGACUCCAAAAUAAGUAGUACAGCGUCCAGUUCUGCAUAGGUGAAAGCAUACUAUCUAAAACUGGACGGCCUUCUAAAGCUCUGAAACUACUAUUUGUUGUGUAAUCUGUAUCCCCUUUUCAUACUCUAUAUAUGCUUUCUACUUACUAGGAAAAAAUGCGUGAGAACGAUGUCUUGAGGAUGCGAAUUGCACUCAAAUAUAUGCAGGUUUCUUGCCAAACUAACUGCCACUAUUUUAUUUCAGGUGCUUCUUCUGUAACUUAGUGUAUUUUGCUGGCUCUUCUCAUUUCCUGGUGAACUUUUUAGUCUGUACAGUCGAAUCGUUGGAAGUUGUUUUCUACUAUCUAUAGAGGUUUUAUCCAAACUAUUAGCUGCCUGACUUGCUUUUUUGAAGUACACCGUCCUGAUAGACCAAGUGGACCCACACAUUUCCAUGGGAUUUUAGAAAAAUAUAUGUGAAUUUGCAUACAUUUUCUAAAUUUCUAUCUUUUCUUAUCCAUGCUUCUAUAUAUAGCAGGCUCAACAAAAAUGAAUGUCUGAUUGUGUUCAAAUUUCAAGGAAGUGUGCUUCACGUUUCUCUUUCUGCAAUAUUUUUCAGAGUAUAUGAUUUAAUUUUCCUACUUUCCCAGUUACAAUACUGUCUACUUCAUUCUUAGCUUUGCUUUGGGAAAAAUAGGUAUGCAGGUUAUCGAAAGCUCCAUUUUUCUCCAUUAUAUAGAUCAUAUAGCUUUGUGAUCGAAGGUAGGUUGUCACAUAUGGGAUGUUGCCUGUGAAAGUUAUAUACAGCCAUGAGUCCCUGACAAAAUAAUCGCAGCUCAUGUUACUAGGAUCAGGGAACCUCGACCAUUUUUCUGAAACAUGUCGUAGCUCAUGUUCCUACUUUCCCAGCUACACUAUUAUGUACUUCAUUCUUACCUUCGCUUUUGGAAGUUACAUUGCUUUCUUUUCCCUCAUAAACUUGCUAGCGAUAUUGGCGAAGUAAUCCCCACUUCAGAUUUCCCAUUGAAUAAAUAACUAAUUUAGUUUGUUGUAAAAUUGUAGGUCAAGAUCCAUGAAUAGGAGCAAGGCAUCACACCAGCUCUGAGAAGAAAAGGAUAUGAAGACAAAGAUAGACCAGUGUUCUGCUCCGAAGCAAAAACAUUUUACGUGUAAUAAUGAACUGUAAUUUACCACAGUCUCUCUAAAACAGGCCUACCUAUUACCUGUCCGUUGCUUGCUUUUGUAUUAGGAAGUAUGACCCAGUCAUAUAUAUUUACAUUCACGUUGUUUAGUCAUGGUUUGUAUUCAUGAAAAUACCUUUUAAAUCUAGCUUCAAAAUUCUUAUGUGCAGUGAAAUUGUAUCUAGCACUUUGUAAAGAACAAAUGAAACACAUUUCAAAUAACUCAUUAGUCUAAAUUGACACCUUGUGCCAUUAGACAUCAUAAUCAUAAAUGGUUGCUAAAGAGUUUGAAUUGGUAAAGUAGUUGCAUCUGCUGUUUCAAGUCUGGACUGCUGAGAAAUCCGAAAUAAUAGGACAAGAGAAAUCUCACCAGUUCAGUAUGCUUCUCUCGCCCAAAUGAGGAACUGAGGAAGAACGGGG